CUACGGGUCGCUGCAGUGAGGAAUAUUGCACAAUGGGGGAAACCCUGAUGCAGCAACGCCGCGUGGAGGAUGACGCAUUUCGGUGUGUAAACUCCUUUUAUCAGAGAAGAAAAUGACGGUAUCUGAUGAAUAAGCUCCGGCUAACUCCGUGCCAGCAGCCGCGGUAAUACGGAGGGAGCAAGCGUUAUUCGGAAUCACUGGGCGUAAAGGAUGCGUAGGCGGGUUUUUAAGUCAGGUGUGAAAUCCUAUGGCUCAACCAUAGAACUGCACUUGAAACUGGGGACCUAGAGUAUGGAAGGGGAAGGUGGAAUUAGUGGUGUAGGGGUAAAAUCCGUAGAUAUCACUAGGAAUACCGAAAGCGAAGGCGACCUGCUGGGACAUUACUGACGCUGAGGCGUGAAAGCGUGGGGAGCAAACAGGAUUAGAUACCCUUGUAGUC
rnacentral:rRNA from 1 species